AUGUAAACUAGGUGGACAUCGGAGUGAAUCCACGCUUGUGCGUCCCUGCCCACAGAAAUUCCUCCGCAGGGGAAAUAUUAAUACGGCUUGAAAGAUCAAUGAUGCCCUGAAGCUUUCUCUAGAAUUCAAAUGGUCUUGCGUUGGAUGUGUGUGAUUGAGGCUCUUUAAGACGCUGAUGUCUGACAAACCCUAAUCAAAGUAGUGUAGAUCUGUAAUCCACAUAACCACGUUGCAGCAUUUCAACAACAUUGACAUUAGACAUCAAAGCGUUGAUCUCAGAGGGACGGAUGAGGGAGACGGUGGAACCAAGGCGAGGAAUGCAGAGUGGGCCAAAGUUCGGCUCCAGAAAUGCCCGAACGCAUAUUCAUAGCCGCCCACGACAACCCCCCCCCCCCCCACCCCCUCUUUCCCCAUCUGACGUGGAGGAUUCGGAGCAAAGACGAGCGACUCAGGAGAACAGACACAGCGGGGCGGAUGGGGGGGGGCAAGAAGUUGAGCAGGAGCCUUGUGCUGAGGCGAGUGGUUUGUGUGCGCACGUAUGCUGUGUGCUCAGUGCCAGCCGUUUGCCCAUCCCAUCAAUGAGGCCGUUGUUGUUGUGGUUGGGGGGGAGCGGCGGCCUGGCGGCUCGGCCACUCCGCUUCCGGUGACACUCGCCUGUCUCUUGGCCUUUUGUUGCCGUGCGGGUGGUGGAGCCACAUUGGAGUUACGGCGGAACAGUUGCGUCACUCUAGUGAGACGUCUCAAAGUGGCUAAUAUUGGCUCUGGAUUCUCCGGGGGAAGUUGGGGUGUGUUAAUCGAGAAGCUCUCGUACACAAUCCACUUCGACCCGCCAUCUGCACACCCCGGCUGCCGCAGCAAGAGGCGGAAUUAUCGGCUUCUACUUCUGCAUCUAGUUGUUCCACACUCAACAGUCCUCCUGGUAA
ensembl:lncRNA